rnacentral:rRNA from 1 species
AACGAACGCUGGCGGCAUGCCUAACACAUGCCAGUCGAACGAGACCUUCGGGUCUAGUGGCGCACGGGUGCGUAACGCGUGGGAACCUGCCCUUAGGUUCGGAAUAACUCCCCGAAAGGGGUGCUAAUACCGGAUAAUGUCUUCGGACCAAAGAUUUAUCGCCUUUGGAUGGGCCCGCGUUGGAUUAGCUAGUUGGUAGUGUAAAAGCCUACCAAGGCGACGAUCCAUAGCUGGUCUGAGAGGAUGAUCAGCCACACUGGGACUGAGACACGGCCCAGACUCCUACGGGAGGCAGCAGUGGGGAAUAUUGGACAAUGGGCGAAAGCCUGAUCCAGCAAUGCCGCGUGAGUGAUGAAGGCCUUAGGGUUGUAAAGCUCUUUUACCCGGGAUGAUAAUGACAGUACCGGGAGAAUAAGCUCCGGCUAACUCCGUG